rnacentral:misc_RNA from 1 species
UGUCGUCGCUCUCCUGGCCCUGCUGAUCCACUGGAUCGGCAUCAACACGAUCGAACUGUACCGCGACGA